rnacentral:lncRNA from 12 species
UUUCAGUUUUAUUAUUUAUUAAAGAGGUGUCAAGAGAAUCAGGAUGUUGAUGACUCUCAUGUUUUUCACAGUGUUAGAGGACUGAAUGUGGCUUAUUUACAAGUACCUGUCAAAAGAAGAGAGGAACUUGCUGCAAAACUAGUAGUUUACCUCAGACAGUCUCUUCACCAGAUCAGUCAGCUUGGUAUGUCUCCUUGCAUCAUUCACAUUUGUUUUAACUAACUGUGCCUUCUAAAUGAAUCAAUCUAAAUGAAUGUCAACACUUAGAUUUGUUGUUUGCAUAAUAAAUUAAACAAUGCACAUUUCAAAAAUGCAAUGCUUUUUCUAUAUAGCCUGCAAACAGGGUGUCCAAAAUGACACUGACUGGCUGGUUCUGAACCUUGGUCGGUUUUUCACCUAUGUGCCUUAUUCUGACUUGGCAGAAUUCAACAUCUCUAGGGUAAAACAGAAUUAAAAUUAUUCUUGCUUCCAGAAAUUCUGUGUGCAGUGAUGAUCUUGAAUUUAGUGUGGAUGUUUUCUUCCCUAACAGAAGUAACAUUUUUUUACUAUGCAGGAAGCCGUGUUUGGCUCUCUAACUGGUGAACAGAAGGUGGAGCGAAUCUUGACACCAGGUCUGGUAGAUGACGAGUCUGCUGUUAGAGAAUUGUUUGGAUCUGUUGUAAACUCUCCAGACCAGAACCAGUUGGAUGACUUUUUUAAGAAUUUAAUCAUCAUGUCUGCACAGAGAAACGUGUCAAGCAUCAGCACUGCUGUGAGCAGCAUCAUUCUGAACAUGACAUUGAUGGACCUGGCGAACAGAUUUGAAACCUUCAAUCCGCAGACGUUUGCUUUAUGGUUCCAGAUGUACAUGCACAUUUUCCUCCCUGGGAUUGGUCCGGAUAGCCUUUCUGUCAUCCCCAGGACCAUCAGCUGCGAUUCUUACAGAGAAAUCGUGAAAGGCUGUGAUAACGUUUUCAGCAGUCUCACACCUAUUCAGACAGAGUACGUCUACAGUUUCAUACGAGACUAUCUUUACCAUCAGCCCAGCCAAGGUAAUGUGUGUGUGUGUGUGUGUGUGUGUGUGUGUGUGUGUGUGUAUUGGCAUAAACAAGUGUUAAAUAACGUGUAUCUGAUCUUUUCAGGAGAUUCUUGUGUGUUGAGUACUAACAGUGACUCUGAUUGGCUGCUGAAAAACUUUGGACGGUUCCGCUUCAUCGCCAACUUUACUGACUUUAUCAGCUUGAAGAGAGACUUUAAUGGGGUCGAGGCGGCAGAGUUUCUGACUGUGUCCCAGCUGGCUGAGCUUUGCUCCGACCCGUCACGUCUCAGCGGACCAGCGGAUGUUCAGACUGUGAUGAAUGAGCUUCAAACGCAGACACUUUCCGAGUUUUUUGAUGUUCUUUCUCCAAACAUCCAACUGAAUGAACUGGGCUACUCUGCGGAGGUGAAGCGGGCCUUCCUGCAGACAGUGUUUGUGCGAGGCGAUCUGUCAUCUCCUUCAGUCAGUGAUGCUGAGCUGUCAGUCUGGCUCACGGUUCGACUCAGGCUGCUGCUGUCCACUUUGAGCUCAGCAGAAGUUACGGUGUAUUUUGACAUCGUCAGGGCUCGAGGCUGCAGUGUCAAACAGGAGGCGUAAGAGACGUGUUUUUGUUCAGCUGUAGUGAGAAAAUAUUGAUGCGGUUUUCAGAUGAUUCACUCACUCAUUAAAAUCAAAGUCAAUUUAUAGCCGUUUUUUGUGCAUUGCAUGGCAACAGUAAACAUGGACAAUAAACACAGACAGUAGCAUAUAUGCAGAGUAAAACAAUGUGUGUGUGUUUGUGACACAGCGUCAGCGUGCUGGACUCUCAAAGAACGGCUCUGGAUGAAAACACACAACGUCAGAUCUAUAACAACAUCCAACAGAUACUCACAGGUGUGACACACACACACACACACACACACAUCCAGGUGUUUCUUCAGCUGUGGGCACAGUCAGGGUCACUAAUAGAAGGUCUUAUAAAACACAAUUUUACAUGCUUACAUGAUUAUUUUUCUUAAAGUCACAAACAUUCUCAACGCAGCUUUAUUCCCGUCACAUCUAAAAUAAUCAGUGUUUCAUUAACACUCUGUGGUGGAAAUAACAUUUAAAUUAUUUGGAAUAAAAUGGCAGACAUCUUUGUUUUUGCUCAUUUCACAGCAUUCAUUUUUUGC